rnacentral:rRNA from 1 species
AGUUCGGUCCCUAUCUGUUGUGGGCGUAGGAAUUUUGAGUGGGGCUGACCUUAGUACGAGAGGACCGGGUUGGACUAGCCUCUAGUGAAUCUGUUGUUCCGCCAGGGGCAUUGCAGAGUAGCUACGCUGGGAAUAGAUAAGCGCUGAAAGCAUCUAAGUGCGAAACUAGCCACGAGAUGAGAAUUCCAUAUAGGACCGUAGCAGACUACUACGUUGAUAGGCUACAGAUGUAAAGCUGGCGACAGCACAGUCGAGUAGUACUAAUCAUCCGAAGCUUUCAA